rnacentral:lncRNA from 1 species
GCUGCUCUCAUUAAUACCCUAUUAACACAACAGGCUGUUGUGCUGCAUGGCAGUGGUGUUAAAGCAAUGGGGGAAUGCAGGCGGGUGAUGAUGAGGGGUGAGGAAGAGCCCAGUUCUGUCCCACCACACCGCUCCCAUGUGUCACUGCCAUCCAUGUGUGCUGCACAUCAGACCUGCCUGGAAGUGGCCAAAUUCUGCCUUCAUCCUCUCUCUGCUUGAAUAAAAAGCAAAACAGUGUCUGAAAUCUGAUUGAGAGGAAAGCGUUUUCCCUUUCACUUCCUGCAAGACAUGCCCUCUCUCUGCCAACCAUAUCCUGGGUUACAUUAAAAAAGGGGUGGCCAGCAGGGAGAGGGAGGUGAUUGUGCCCCUCUACUCAGCUCCUGUGAGGCCCCAUCUGCAGUACUGCGUCCAGGCCUGGGGCCCCCAGUAGAGGAAGGAUGUGAAGCUCUUGAGAGGAUCCAGAGGAGGGUCACUAAGAUGGUCAGAGGGCUGGAGUACCUCUCCUAUGAGGAAAGGUUGAGGGAAUUGGGCUUGUUUAGUUUGGAGAAGAGAAGGCUCUGGAGAGACCUCAUUGUGGCCUUCCAGUACUUGAAGGGAGUGUAUAAACAGGAGGGGAACAGCUGUUUAUGAGGGUGGAUAGUGAUAGGACAAGGGGGAAUGGUUUUAAACUGAGACAGGGGAGGUUUAGGUUGGAGAUGAGGAGGAAGUUUUUUCCCCCAGAGGGUGGUGACGCACUGAACAGGUUGCCCAAGGAGGCUGUGGAUGCCCCAUCCCUGCAGGCAUUCAAGGCCAGGCUGGAUGUGGCUCUGGGCAGCCUGGGCUGCUGGUUGGUGACCCUGCACAUAGCAGGGGGUUGGAACUGGAUGAGCACUGUGCUCCUUUUCAACCCAGGCCAUUCUAGGAUUCUAGGAUUCUAUGAUAUGGUGAGCAUGGUCCCAUUGACAUCCUCCAAGAGAACUGUCAGUGAUGGGUUUCUUAUCUUACAUUAUUGCUCACGGUGACAAGUAACGCUGUGGGAGGUCAUCCACAGGGCAGGGAUGCAUGGCAGCCCUUCCCAUCCAGCCCCUGCCACCACUUCUCACAGCUCUUAACACAUCACCACCAUUAAAGCACGCUGAAACCCUUCUGUUUGAUCUAUCCAGAGGCAUCCAAAUUACACACCAACCCCAGCGUCUGCAGAAGGAUUUCCCCAUUCUCAGCUAAACGCUCUGAGCAGCAGCAAUACAGUGAAGGUGCUUUAAUCCUCCAGCAGCCGUGAACCCCCCGGCCCUCCCUCAAAGCACUCCGCACGGCUCUGCUCCAUUGAAGCACUGCUCAUUAGCGGCUUUCCUGUAAAUAACCCAGAGCUCCAUUCCCAGGGCUCACCCAGCGUGCUCUUCAUCUACUGCUGCAUGCAGAGGCUGAAGGAGCCACGUUGCAGCACUUUUCUCUGAUGCUUCUGUAGGUCCGGAGAAGUCGGUAACUUUUUAAUCAAACACGUGGAGGAGCUGCAGAGAGGAAUUAACACCACAUCCUCAGCAGGGCCAGCAGACAGCAGCCCGA